GGCCGUCACCGCGGCCAACAACUGUUUAACGUCCUGCGGGAGAGGCAAAGAUUCCACUGGCUGGGAUGCACUUGCUGCUACGCUAUCGUUUUCCGCCGCAUCCAGUGGCGAGUUCACCGAUCCCUCGACGUAAUCGAUUAGAUUAUCCUAGUCUCUUCGUGCGAGAAUCAUGUCGAUCAGCUCAUUGCGGUCGACCGGCACCUUAAUCUGGUCAGCCAGGCCAGCGCGCACUGCCUCCUUCUUCAAGGCUUCCGUGGCCAGCUUGGUCAACUUCGCACGAUCCAUCUGAAGUCAGCUUCUUCCACUGCUAAUUACGCCGGAGCGCUAAUUAGAAUACGCGGUUCGAGGCACGAGACACUGACGCGAGAACGAAUUUCCGGCGCCGACGGGACGCACGGAUUCGAGUAAAAAUGUACUUUUGUUCGCGACGCGACUAAUUCGCGAGAUUUCCUUACCCGAGGACGAGCCAAUUUUACACGCGGAUUAACGCGAGAACACUAUCGAGAGUCGAGACGAGUAACGGGGAGUCGUUCGUCGGAGCACGUGGCGAGGUAGAUCGGAGUGCUUUCCGGUCGAGACACGAGACGAGUGCACAGCACCCUCCAACCGAGAUUCGAGACGAGAGCUAAACCGGAGCACUGCACCGAGACACGAGGCGAGCUUAAUUGGAGCUCUACUCCACCGAGAUUCAAGGCAAGCGUAAUUGGAGCACUACUCCACCGAGAUUCGAGGCGAGCGUAAUUGGAGCACUACUCCACCGAGAUUCGAGGCGAGAGUUCGGCCGGAGCACCUUUCGUCGGGACGCGAGAUGAGUUUGACUGGAGCACUAUCCCACUUCUGAGAUGUAAGGCUGUUCUUCGAGUUUACUAGAUUCUACUGGACGGGAAUUAUUAUUUCAGGAAUGGCCGGGAAAUUCACUAAUAACCACAGAGAUCUAGUUUUAUAGAAAGAUAUUGAUACAAUGGAAGUCUUUCUAUUCAUAAAUGCAGCUAGUAGUGAUAUAUUAAAGACUGCUUUAGCUCUAGAUUUAAGUGAAAGCGAAAGCGAAAGUGAGACGGAAGAAUUUCUAAACUUUAUUAUUCCCACACAAGUUUGUCGAUUAAGAGGAAAAAGGGGAAAAGCAAUUCGAAUUGAAGGAUACGUAAACAACGUUGUACCUAGGUUCUCGUCACGCCAGUUCAAAGAACAUUUUCGUAUGACACCAAACUGUUUUUCCUUAUUGGAAAAUAAACUUAGUCCAAUGCUAGAAAAUAAUAAUAUAGGAAGAUCUCAUAUAUCACCAAGGGUACAACUACUUGCUGUUUUGUGGUUACUAGCAACCCCUGAUUCUUACAGAUCUGUUGGACUCCAAUUCAAUUUGGCUAAAUCGUCACUGAAUCACUGUGUGCGGCGUGUUAUUCAGGCUCUUUGCAAUAUUUCAAGUGACAUCAUCAAAUGGCCAUCUGUGACUAAUAUGAGUACUAUAAAAGACAAGUUUAAACGAAUAGCUGGCCUGGAAAAUGUUCUUGGUGCUAUUGAUGGUUCAUAUAUUGAAAUUCCAGCACCAUCGAUUGAUGCUCAUUGCUACCUGACAAGAAAGUGUAGAUAUGCUGUAAUACUUCAAGCUGUAUGUGAUGCAGAUCUGCGUUUCACAGAUUGUUAUGCUGGAUAUCCUGGUUCUGUAGGUGAUCUUAGAGUUUUUCGAAAUUCUGAUCUUUGGUAUAGUGUCAAUAGAAAUCGUCAUUUCUUUUUUCCUAAUGAAGAAUUCAUAAUAGGAGACAAAGCAUAUCCUUCACUUGGAUGGUGUUUGACCGCUUAUAGAGAUAAUGGUCAUUUGACACAGAUCGAGAACAAUUUUAAUUAUAUUCUAUCACAAACUAGGCAAACUGUAGAACGUGCUUUUGCUUUGUUAAAAGGCCGCUUAAGACGUUUGAAAUAUUUAGAUAUGUCUAGGGUUGAUUUAAUACCGGCAACAAUCUUGGCCUGUUGUGUUCUUCACAACAUAUGUUUAGGUGAUAUUGAUGACGAAAUUGAGAAUUAUGUUGUGGAAGGUAACAGAGAAAAUGAACAGAAUAGAGAAAAUAAUGAGGAAUGUGAGCAUAUUGAAAAUUAUGAUAAUGAAGGAAUUACAAAGCGUAAUUAUCUUGCAACAAUUUUAUUUCGAAGGAGAUAAACAAACAGUAAAGGAAAGAAGGCGCUAAUGCGCUUGGAGUACAAAGGCUUAUAUAAGGUCGAAGGAACUUUUGCAACAGGCGACCGUUAUUAGGACUCCGCUGCUUACGCGAUGGUCACAUACAGUAUUACACGUUACAAAGGAUUACUAAGGUUUACUAUUCUCCUAUUUAAUAUAAAUCGUUUCUCUUUUAAUUAUAUUAUUUUUUUGUAUUAUUUCUUAAUAUUAUGCAAAUAAGAGAAACAUUGCGAUGAACAAAAAAUCAAAUAAAAUUAUAUUAUUAAAUGUAACUAAAUAAAACAGAAAAAUGUUCAUUAAACGAAAUAAAAAUACGUUUGUAUGUUA
rnacentral:misc_RNA from 1 species